AACGAACGCUGGCGGCGUGCCUAACACAUGCAAGUCGAGCGCGAAUGGAGCAAUCCUAGUAGAGCGGCGCACGGGUGAGUAACACGUGGGUAAUCUGCCUGGAAGUCCGGGACAACCUGCCGAAAGGCUGGCUAAUACCGGAUAAGCCCACGGGGUCCUCGGAUCCCGAGGGAAAAGAUGGCCUCUGCAUGCAAGCUAUCACUUCCAGAUGAGCCCGCGGCCCAUCAGCUUGUUGGCGGGGUAAUGGCCCACCAAGGCAACGACGGGUAGCUGGUCUGAGAGGACGAUCAGCCACACUGGAACUGAGACACGGUCCAGACUCCUACGGGAGGCAGCAGUGGGGAAUUUUGCGCAAUGGGCGAAAGCCUGACGCAGCAACGCCGCGUGUGUGAUGAAGGUCUUCGGAUCGUAAAGCACUUUCGACCGGGACGAAAACCCGCUGGCCAAUAUCCAGCGGUCUGACGGUACCGGGAGAAGAAGCACCGGCUAACUCUGUGCCAGCCGCCGCCGUAAAAC
rnacentral:rRNA from 1 species